rnacentral:rRNA from 1 species
UACAGAGGGGGCAAGCGUUGUUCGGAAUUACUGGGCGUAAAGCGCACGUAGGCGGCUUUGUAAGUUAGAGGUGAAAGCCCGGAGCUCAACUCCGGAACUGCCUUUAAAACUGCAUCGCUAGAGUUGUGGAGAGGUAAGUGGAAUUCCGAGUGUAGAGGUGAAAUGCGUAGAUAUCUGGAGGAACACCGGUGGCGAAGGCGGCAUCCUGGACCGGCAUUGACGCUGAGGAGCGAAAGCCAGGGGAGCAAAGCGG